AUGGAGUGCGUCAUCGGCGUGGUCGGCCGCGACUUCGCGGUCGUGGCGGCGGACACGUCCGCCGUGCAGAGCAUCCUCGUCCACAAGACGGACGAGGACAAGAUCAUGCUCCUCGACUCCCACAAGCUCAUGGGCGCCUCCGGCGAGCCCGGCGACCGCGUGCAGUUCACCGAGUUCAUCCAGAAGAACCUCCACCUCUACCAGUUCCGCAACAACAUGCCGCUCAGCACCGCCGCCACCGCCAACUUCACCCGCGGCGAGCUCGCCACCGCCCUCCGCAAGAAUCCCUACUCUGUAAACAUCAUACUUGCAGGGUUUGAUAAAGACGCUGGUGCAUCGAUGUACUACAUUGACUACAUCGCGACGCUCCACAAGAUCGACAAGGGAGCAUUCGGGUAUGGGUCGUACUUCUGUUUGUCGCUGAUGGACAAGUUGUACCGCCCUGACAUGACUGUUGAGGAAGCGGUGGACCUUGUUGACAAGUGCAUCAAGGAGAUCAGACUCCGGCUGGUCGUCGCGCCCCAGAAUUUCGCCAUCAAGAUCGUGGACAAGGAUGGCGCCAGGGACUAUGCUAGGCGUGAGAUCGGAGGUGACAGUCCUGCAACCGCAACCGCAACAAUAGCAACAACUGCCUGA
rnacentral:rRNA from 1 species